UACAGGGGGGGCAAGCGUUGUUCGGAAUUACUGGGCGUAAAGGGUUCGUAGGUGGCUUGCUAAGUCAGACGUGAAAUCCCUCAGCUUAACUGGGGAACUGCGUCUGAUACUGGCAAGCUUGAGUGCAGGAGAGGAACGCGGAAUUCCAGGUGUAGCGGUGAAAUGCGUAGAUAUCUGGAGGAACACCGGUGGCGAAGGCGGCGUUCUGGACUGCAACUGACACUGAGAGACGAAAGCCAGGGAGCAAACGGG
rnacentral:rRNA from 1 species